rnacentral:misc_RNA from 1 species
UCCCCUUUAUCUGAAGGUAUAUGUGCAAAGCUAGCUUUCAGUAGAUUCCUCCAUUUAUCCUUGAGAUCAACAGAGGUGCGAUAUGAAUAGGAUGCAAAUGCAAGCCGCUUGAUCUCAGACCACCUUCCAGCCCCAUACCUAGACACACCCUCAACUAGCUUCAUGACCUCGGAGAGAGUCCAAGCUCGAUGAUGUUUCCUUCUAAUUCCACCUUUGGAUGUGGGCACAGAAACUACAUUAUCGUCUGAAUCCCCAGUUGAAUCUACUUGUUUCAGCACCUUAUGAUGGCCCCCAACUGCACCUAUUGCUGAGAACUGUUUAUCUUUGUCUGGU